rnacentral:rRNA from 1 species
UUGCCUCUUGGACUGGGACAACUGUUGGAAACGACAGCUAAUACCGGAUAUUAUGAGAUUCUCGCAUGAGAAACUUAUGAAAGCUAUAUGCGCCAAGAGAGAGCCUUGCGUUCCAUUAGCUAGUUGGUGGGGUAACGGCCCACCAAGGCGACGAUGGAUAGCCGGCCUGAGAGGGUGAACGGCCACAAGGGGACUGAGACACGGCCCUUACUCCUACGGGAGGCAGCAGUGGGGAAUAUUGGACAAUGGGCCACAAGCCUGAUCCAGCAAUUCUGUGUGCACGAUGAAGGUCUUCGGAUUGUAAAGUGCUUUCAGUUGGGAAGAAGAAAGUGACGGUACCAACAGAAGAAGCGACGGCUAAAUACGUGCCAGCAGCCGCGGUAAUACGUAUGUCGCAAGCGUUAUCCGGAUUUAUUGGGCGUAAAGCGCGUCUAGGCGGAAAAAUAAGUCUGAUGUUAAAAUGCGGGGCUCAACUCCGUAUUGCGUUGGAAACUGUUUUUCUAGAGUACUGGAGAGGUGGGCGGAACUACAAGUGUAGAGGUGAAAUUCGUAGAUAUUUGUA